UGACGUCAAAUCAUCAUGCCCCUUAUGACCUGGGCUACACACGUGCUACAAUGGAUAGUACAAAGGGUCGCGAAGCCGCGAGGUGGAGCUAAUCCCAUAAAACUAUUCUCAGUUCGGAUUGUAGGCUGCAACUCGCCUACAUGAAGCCGGAAUCGCUAGUAAUCGUGGAUCAGCAUGCCACGGUGAAUACGUUCCCGGGCCUUGUACACACCGCCCGUCACACCACGAGAGUUUGUAACACCCGAAGUCGGUAGGGUAACCUUUAUGGAGCCAGCCGCCGAAGGUGGGACAGAUAAUUGGGGUGAAGUCGUAACAAGGUAGCCGUAUCGGAAGGUGCGGCUGGAUCACCUCCUUU
rnacentral:rRNA from 1 species